rnacentral:tRNA from 1 species
GGUUGUAUAGUGUAGCGGUUAGCACGCGAGAUUUUGAUGACUAUUCAAAAGUUUCUCGAGUCCUGGGUUCGAGCCCCAGUACGACCU